AGUGAACGCUGGCGGUAGGCCUAACACAUGCAAGUCGAACGGCAGCACAGUAAGAGCUUGCUCUUACGGGUGGCGAGUGGCGGACGGGUGAGGAAUACAUCGGAAUCUACUUUUUCGUGGGGGAUAACGUAGGGAAACUUACGCUAAUACCGCAUACGACCUACGGGUGAAAGCAGGGGAUCUUCGGACCUUGCGCGAUUGAAUGAGCCGAUGUCGGAUUAGCUAGUUGGCGGGGUAAAGGCCCACCAAGGCGACGAUCCGUAGCUGGUCUGAGAGGAUGAUCAGCCACACUGGAACUGAGACACGGUCCAGACUCCUACGGGAGGCAGCAGUGGGGAAUAUUGGACAAUGGGCGCAAGCCUGAUCCAGCCAUACCGCGUGGGUGAAGAAGGCCUUCGGGCUGUAAAGCCCUUUUGUUGGGGAAGAAAAGCAGCAGGUUAAUACCCCGCUGUUCUGACGGUACCCAAAGAAUAAGCACCGGCUAACUUCGUG
rnacentral:rRNA from 1 species